UCAGUCUCAAAGCCUACCAUACAUACUUCACUUUCCCACGCGCGCUCUCUCUCUCUCUCUCUCUCUCUCUAGUCGGCCACAAACCCUUCCUCUUCCCUUCCUCUCCAAAUCCCAAACCCCCAAAAUCCAAAAAACCCCUCCAAAAUAAACAAAGAUCGAAUCUUUCACUCACGUAGGCAGUGAGAGGGAGAGGAAGUGAAAACCCACAUGGAUUCGGAUCAAGGCAAGCUUUUUAUUGGUGGGAUUUCAUGGGAAACCUCGGAGGAUAAGCUGAAGGAGUACUUCAGCAACUACGGCGACGUUUUGCAAACAGUGGUUAUGAGGGACAAAGUCACGGGACGCCCUAGAGGUUUUGGGUUUGUAGUUUUUGUAGAUCCUGCUGUUCUUGAUAGGGUUCUUCAGGAUAAGCACACCAUCGAUGGUAGAACGGUUGAGGCUAAGAGGGCCCUAUCGAGAGAGGAGCAGCAAACCACUGGCAGAGUUGGAAAUGCUAACCCUACUAGAAGUGCCGGAAAUGGUGGAAAUAUUAGGACCAAGAAGAUAUUUGUUGGAGGGUUGCCUCCCACUCUUAGCGAAGAAGGAUUCCGUGAGUAUUUUGAAACUUAUGGCAAUGUAACUGAUGUAGUAGUAAUGUAUGACCAAAGUACCGGACGUCCUCGUGGAUUUGGAUUUAUUUCAUUUGAUACUGAAGAAGCAGUUGACAGGGUUUUGCACAAAACAUUUCAUGAUUUAAAUGGUAAGCAAGUGGAAGUUAAGAGGGCUCUUCCCAAAGAUGCCAAUCCCGGUGGGGGUGGCCGUAGCAUGGGGGGUGGUCAAGGUGGCGGUGGUGCAGCUGGUGGUGGUUAUCAAGGAUAUGGCGCAUCUGGUGGCAACCCAAAUGCAUAUGAUGGUAGAAUGGACUCCAACAGGUACAUGCAAUCUCAGAGUACUGGAGGUGGAUUUCCACCUUAUGGUUCUUCUGGGUAUAGUGCACCCAGUUAUGGGUAUGGUCCUACCAGUAAUGGAAUUGGUUAUGGCGGUUAUGGAAGUUACGGUGGCACUAAUACUGGCUAUGGAGGUCCAGCAGCUGCUGCCUACGGAAACCCUAAUGCCCCAAAUGCUGGCUAUGCUAGUGGUCCACCAGGUGCCCCUAGAAGUUCAUGGAGUUCUCAAGCCCCCUCUGGAUAUGGUGCUAUGGGAUACGGGAAUACUGCUCCUUGGGGUGUUUCAGGUGGCAGUGCAGGUGCAGGCAGUGGCGGCCCUGGUUCUGCACCUGCUGGUCAAUCACCUAGUGCAGCGGCUGGGUAUGGAGCUCAAGGUUAUGGUUAUGGUGGGUACAGUGGAAGUGAUGCGUCCUAUGCAAAUCCGUCUGGUUAUGGUGCUGUUGGAGGGCGUUCAGGGAGUGUCCCAAAUAACAAUGUUGGUGGCGCAGGUGGGGAGCAAGGUAGUGGUGGUGGCUAUGUUGGGAGUGGCUAUGGCGAUUCAAAUGGAAAUACAGGUUAUGGAAAUGCUGGUUGGAGAUCUGAUCCAUCCCAGGCUUCAGGAAACUAUGGUGGUCAGGCAAAUGGUGGACAAGUUGGUUAUGGUGGUGGGUAUGGCAGUGCUCAGGCACGACAAUCCCAACAGCAGUAAUUUUGAUGGUCAACUGUUUCAAUGGAAAUUUCAUCCUGUUUUAUGGAUCUGUAACUCUUUAUGCAUGAGCUCGUAAUGGUUUCUCAUCACCAGCGGCAGUAGCAGGAACAGCUCAAGUUGGAUGGCAAUGCUUUGGGACUGGAGGAGAGGUGCACAAGUUGUAAAGUGAAGUGUCCAUCAUGGCUGAAACGAGCUUCAUGGUGGGGCAUGUUCAUUGGGGGUGUGUUCAGCAUGGAAUGAAAUAUUUGGAAGUUUGUUCACUUGAAAUUAAUGAGGCAUUCUCCAGCCAGGCCAUGCCAUUGCCAACACUGUCAAAUUUCGCAGAGUCCUCAAGCUCAUAAUAUCGUAAACUUCACCCUGGUUUUGGUUGCAUGACAGAUUGUGAGGUGAACAGCGUACGGUAUGUUGACUUGAGCAGCUUAGCCAGAUUCGCUUUAAAAUUUGAUUGUGUAAGGCCGUGUUUUGAUUCAUAGGAGCAGAUGGUUCCGGAAUUUAGAGAAGCAGAAAGGAGGUGCUUCUGUUAAAAUAGUUUUUCUAGAACUUUAGAAUGAAGUAGAAGACCCAUUGCAUUUUUAUUCAUUUAUUUUUCCAAAUUUGAGAACACAGGCUAGAUUUAUGAUGCAUUAUUUCAAUAAGAAUAUUGACUGUUGUAAUAGUGCA